GUCGAGCGGUAGCACAGAGAGCUUGCUCUCGGGUGACGAGCGGCGGACGGGCGAUUUAUGUCUGGGAAACUGCCUGAUGGAGGGGGAUAACUACUGCAUACGGUAGCUAAUACCGCAUAACGUCGCAAGACCAAAGUGGGGGACCUUCGGGCCUCAUGCCAUCAGAUGUGCCCAGAUGGGAUUAGCUGGUAGGUGGGGUAACGGCUCACCUAGGCGACGAUCCCUAGCUGGUCUGAGAGGAUGACCAGCCACACUGGAACUGAGACACGGUCCAGACUCCUACGGGAGGCAGCAGUGGGGAAUAUUGCACAAUGGGCGCAAGCCUGAUGCAGCCAUGCCGCGUGUGUGAAGAAGGCCUUCGGGUUGUAAAGCACUUUCAGCGGGGAGGAAGGCGGUGAGGUUAAUAACCUCAUCGAUUGACGUUACCCGCAGAAAAAGCACCGGCUAACUCCGUGGCAGCAGCCGCGGUAAUACGGAGGGUGCAAGCGUUAAUCGGAAUUACUGGGCGUAAAGCGCACGUAGGCGGCUUUGUAAGUCAGAGGUGAAAGCCUGGAGCUCAACUCCAGAACUGCCUUUGAGACUGCAUCGCUUGAAUCCAGGAGAGGUCAGUGGAAUUCCGAGUGUAGAGGUGAAAUUCGUAGAUAUUCGGAGAACACCAGUGGCGAAAGCGGCUGACUGGACUGGUAUUGACGCUGAGGUGCGAAAGCGUGGGGAAGCAACAGGAUUAAAUACCCUGGUAGUCCACCCCGUAAACCAUGAUAACUAGCUGUCCCGGCACUUGGUGUUUGGGGGGCGCCACUAACGCAUUAAUUUAUUCCCCCGGGGGGGGACGGCGGCCAGGUUAAAA
rnacentral:rRNA from 1 species